CUUGGACUUUAAUCAAGCAAUAAUCAAUAAGCAAUGAACAUUAUCCAGACAUCAUGAAGAUUAAGGCAUCAAAUAAAGAUGGCCACAUCCAAGCAAGCAGUUUCCAUAGCUAAUAGUCUUCUUUAUCUUCCAAUGUAUCAGAUGAAAUAUUUCUUGAUCAACUCAGAACAAAGCAUCAGACACAUGAUCAAAAUAACAAUUAAGCACAAAGACA
rnacentral:lncRNA from 1 species